rnacentral:rRNA from 1 species
GGCAGCCGCCGCGGUAACACCGGCAGCCCAAGUGGUAGCCACGAUUAUUGGGUCUAAAGCGUCCGUAGCCGGCCAGGUAAGUUCUUUGGGAAAUUUAACCGCUCAACGGUUAAGCUUUCAGGGAAUACUGCUUGGCUUGGGACCGGGAGAGGUCAGAGGUACUUCAAGGGUAGGGGUGAAAUCCGUUAAUCCUUGAGGGACCACCAGUAGCGAAGGCGUCUGACCAGACCGGGUCCGACGGUGAGGGACGAAGGCUAGGGUCGCGAACCGGAUUAGAUACCCGGGUAGUCCUAGCUGUAAACGAUGCGGGCCAGGUGUUGGCAUUACUGCGAGUGAUGUCAGUGCCGAAGGGAAGCCGUUAAGCCCGCCAUCUGGGGAGUACGGUCGCAAGGCUGGAAACUUAAGGAAUUGGCGGGGGAGCACCACAACGGGUGGAGCCUGCGGUUCAAUUGGAGUCAACGCCGG